rnacentral:rRNA from 1 species
GACGAACGCUGGCGGCGUGCUUAACACAUGCAAGUCGAACGGAAAGGCCCUGCUUUUGUGGGGUGCUCGAGUGGCGAACGGGUGAGUAACACGUGAGUAACCUGCCCUUGACUUUGGGAUAACUUCAGGAAACUGGGGCUAAUACCGGAUAGGAGCUCCUGCUGCAUGGUGGGGGUUGGAAAGUUUCGGCGGUUGGGGAUGGACUCGCGGCUUAUCAGCUUGUUGGUGGGGUAGUGGCUUACCAAGGCUUUGACGGGUAGCCGGCCUGAGAGGGUGACCGGCCACAUUGGGACUGAGAUACGGCCCAGUCUCCUACGGGAGGCAGCAGUGGGAAAUAUUGCACAAUGAGCGCGAGCCUGAUGCAGCAACGCCGCGUGCGGGAUGACGGCCUUCGGGUUGUAAACCGCUUUCGCCUGUGACGAAGCGUGAGUGACGGUAAUGGGUAAAGAAGCACCGGCUAACUACGUG